AGAGUUUGAUCAUGGCUCAGGAUGAACGCUGGCGGUAUGCUUAACACAUGCAAGUCGAACGGUGUCUUCGGACAUAGUGGCGGACGGGUGAGUAACGCGUGAGGACCUGCCUUUAGGACUGGGACAACCACUGGAAACGGUGGCUAAAACCGGAUGUGCCUUCGGGUGAAAUAUUUAUAGCCUAGAGAGGGGCUCGCGUCUGAUUAGCUAGUUGGUGAGGUAAGGGCUUACCAAGGCGACGAUCAGUAGCUGGUCUGAGAGGAUGAUCAGCCACACUGGGACUGAGACACGGCCCAGACUCCUACGGGAGGCAGCAGUGGGGAAUUUUCCGCAAUGGGGGCAACCCUGACGGAGCAAUACCGCGUGAGGGAGGAAGGCUUUUGGGUUGUAAACCUCUUUUGAUAGGGAAGAACACAAUGACGGUACCUAUCGAAUCAGCAUCGGCUAACUCCGUGCCAGCCGCCGCGGUAAUUC
rnacentral:rRNA from 1 species